CCUACGGGGGGCUGCAGUGGGGAAUAUUGGACAAUGGGGGGAACCCUGAUCCAGCCAUGCCGCGUGUGUGAAGAAGGCCCUCGGGUUGUAAAGCACUUUCAGUGAGGAAGAACGCCUGGUGGUGAAUACCCAUCAGGAAAGACAUCACUCACAGAAGAAGCACCGGCUAACUCCGUGCCAGCAGCCGCGGUAAUACGGAGGGUGCGAGCGUUAAUCGGAAUUACUGGGCGUAAAGCGCGCGUAGGUGGCUUGAUAAGCCGGUUGUGAAAGCCCCGGGCUCAACCUGGGAACGGCAUCCGGAACUGUCAAGCUAGAGUGCAGGAGAGGAAGGUAGAACUCCCGGUGUAGCGGUGAAAUGCGUAGAGAUCGGGAGGAAUACCAGUGGCGAAGGCGGCCUUCUGGACUGACACUGACACUGAGGUGCGAAAGCGUGGGUAGCAAACAGGAUUAGAUACCCCUGUAGUC
rnacentral:rRNA from 1 species